rnacentral:rRNA from 1 species
UCCGAAGGGGGCUAGCGUUGCUCGGAAUCACUGGGCGUAAAGGGCGCGUAGGCGGACUUUUAAGUCGGGGGUGAAAGCCCAGGGCUCAACCCUGGAAUUGCCUUCGAUACUGAGAGUCUUGAGUUCGGAAGAGGUUGGUGGAACUGCGAGUGUAGAGGUGAAAUUCGUAGAUAUUCGCAAGAACACCAGUGGCGAAGGCGGCCAACUGGUCCGAUACUGACGCUGAGGCGCGAAAGCGUGGGGAGCAAACAGG